rnacentral:lncRNA from 1 species
UGAACUACCAAAGUGGAAGGUGAAUAGAUUUAUCAUCUGCAAAGCCUUGUUAGUCAAUAUCUUUCUGUCUGUGACACUAAAGUGAAGUUUCCAAGAGCAAGCUAGAGAUCAGCAUUGGGUUACUGCCACACAGACUUUGUGUAGUGGUCCUUGCUGCUCACCUAGAACUUUGAUCCCGUGUGAUUGAAUCUGCUUCUUUUAAUGCUCUUUCUCUGUAUAUUGUGUUUCUGUCUUUAAUGACAGAGACCCAAUUUUGGUCCUUUCUCUUAUAUUUUGUCUUAUAUUACCUGCUCCCCAGUAUGUGUGCUAACCUGAUAUUAGAAUAUACAAUAAUACUGUCUGGAAGGUCAAGAAUUUUAGCACUAAGAUUCUAAAGUUCACAAAGUUGAUCUAUGUGCGUGUGUGUGUGUGUGUGUGUGUGUGUGUGUGUGUGUGUGUGUGUGUGUGUGUGUGUGUAUGUGUAUAAAUUAAAUAUGUGAGAUUGCCAGAGAAGCAUUCCUGUUGUGUGAUAUUUUAUUUAUGUUCCGACAAAUAAAACUUGCCUAGAGAACAGAGGGCAAACCUAGCCACCCUCUGGUUAGCCAUAGAAGCUGGGCAGUGUUGGCUCAUGCCUUUCAUUCCCAGAUUUGGUAGGCUCAUGCCUUUAAUCUCAGCAGUGGGGAGGCAGAGAGAGGAAGUGAUAGGUCAGGACAGAGACAGGAUCUCAGCCAUUUUGGAUUGAGAGAGGAGACAGGUAGGAAGUAACUAGAAACUGCUCCAGGUUGUUUGAUCUUCCACAUUUGUACACAAAUAUUUGACUCCUGAUUUUUUCAUUGAUAAAGAUUAAUUAGAUUAAUGCUUUAUAUUCCCCUCUACAGCCAUUCAGUGAUGUGUUAUUUGAACUGUGUCACGUUGACAACAGAUUUCAGAAAGGGCAGACGUAGAGGUCUGGGAUAGAAGUGAGAUAUCAUAAAUUUCAACACAGUAAAGAGAACUCUGAAGACCUCAAAUCAGUGGUUCUCAACAUGUGGGUCAUGACCAUUUCACAUCUGUUUCAUAUCAGAUAUUUAUAUUACGAUUCAUAAUAGUAGCAAAAUUGCAGUAAUGAAGUAGGAAUGAAAUAAUUUUUUAUGAUGGGGGUCACCAGGUCUUAGCAUUAGGAAAUUUCAGAACCACUGCCUUAAAUUAUCAGCUAUGUUCUCCAUAAAAGUAUCAUUGAAAAAUUCCUAUGCACUAUUGUAUGAUGUUUGGGGAUGUUUUCUCCUUCAGUCUGUUCUAGUUCAGAAAAUUUACUAAAUUUCUCCAACUUCUUGAUGGUGAGAAAAUAGUAACAUAGCUUCUUGUUAACAGAAAAAAACAUAAAAUAUUACAUAGACAGUUAAUAGGCUUUGGGUCAUGGUUUAUAACUGUAACUGUCAUGAAAGUAACUAUAGUUCCUAUAUGCCUGAUAAACCCAGUUCUAACUCAGCUAUCAUGUUGAAUACUCCAGUAUUAUGUUGUGUCUGAACUGAAACCAAAUGCUGUUGUUGCAGAU